GACGAACGCUGGCGGCGUGCUUAACACAUGCAAGUCGAACGGAAAGGCCCUGCUUUUGUGGGGUGCUCGAGUGGCGAACGGGUGAGUAACACGUGAGUAACCUGCCCUUGACUUUGGGAUAACUUCAGGAAACUGGGGCUAAUACCGGAUAGGAGCUCCUGCUGCAUGGUGGGGGUUGGAAAGUUUCGGCGGUUGGGGAUGGACUCGCGGCUUAUCAGCUUGUUGGUGGGGUAGUGGCUUACCAAGGCUUUGACGGGUAGCCGGCCUGAGAGGGUGACCGGCGACAUUGGGACUGAGAUACGGCCCAGACGCCUACGGGAGGCAGCAGUGGGGAAUAUUGCACAAUGGGAGGAAGCCUGAUGCAGCAACGCCGCGUGCGGGAUGACGGCCUUCGGGUUGUAAACCGCUGUCGCCUGUGACGAAGCGUGAGUGACGGUAAUGGGUAAAGAAGCACCGGCUAACUACGUG
rnacentral:rRNA from 1 species